GAGUUUGAUCAUGGCUCAGAUUGAACGCUGGCGGCAUGCUUUACACAUGCAAGUCGAACGGUAACGCGGGGGCAACCCUGGCGACGAGUGGCGAACGGGUGAGUAAUACAUCGGAACGUGUCCUGGAGUGGGGGAUAGCUCGGCGAAAGCCGGAUUAAUACCGCAUACGCUCUGAGGAGGAAAGCGGGGGACCUUCGGGCCUCGCGCUGCGGGAGCGGCCGAUGUCGGAUUAGCUAGUUGGUGGGGUAAAGGCCUACCAAGGCGACGAUCCGUAGCUGGUCUGAGAGGAUGAUCAGCCACACUGGGACUGAGACACGGCCCAGACUCCUACGGGAGGCAGCAGUGGGGAAUUUUGGACAAUGGGGGCAACCCUGAUCCAGCCAUGCCGCGUGAGUGAAGAAGGCCUUCGGUUGUAA
rnacentral:rRNA from 1 species